rnacentral:rRNA from 1 species
UACGUAGGGUGCGAGCGUUGUCCGGAAUUAUUGGGCGUAAAGGGCUCGUAGGCGGUUUGUCGCGUCGGGAGUGAAAUCCACUGGCUUAACUGGUGGCUUGCUUUCGAUACGGGCAGACUAGAGUGUGGUAGGGGAGACUGGAAUUCCUGGUGUAGCGGUGAAAUUCGUAGAUAUCGGGAGGAACACCGGUGGCGAAGGCGGCGACCUGGGUCGAGACUGACGCUGAGGCGCGAAAGCGUGGGGAGCAAACAGG